GCAGUAAACGCAAUAAGUAUCCCCGCCUGGGGAGUACGGCCGCAAGGUUGAAAUUCAAAGGAAUUGACGGGGGCCCGCACAAGCAGCGGAGCAUGUGGUUUAAUUCGAAGCAACGGGAAGAACCUUACCAGAACUUGACAUCUCCUGAAUAGUGGGUAAUACCAUGAAGCCUUUCGGGGCAGGAAGACAGGUGGUGCAUGGUUGUCGUCAGCUCGUGUCGUGAGAUGUUGGGUUAAGUCCCGCAACGAGCGCAACCCUUAUUGCUAGUUGCCAUCAUUAAGUUGGGCACUCUAGCGAGACUGCCGGAGACAAUCCGGAGGAAGGCGGGGAUGACGUCAAAUCAUCAUGCCCCUUAUGUUCUGGGCUACACACGUGCUACAAUGGGUGUAACAACGAGAAGCAAGCUAGUGAUAGCAAGCAAACCUCUGAAAAACAUCCUCAGUUCGGAUUGUAGGCUGAAACCCGCCUACAUGAAGUUGGAGUUGCUAGUAAUCGCGAAUCAGCAUGUCGCGGUGAAUACGUUCCCGG
rnacentral:rRNA from 1 species